GUUCCUGUGGUCACAGAAUGCAACAUGCACGGAAGAACUUCUAAUGAAGGACACCAGACAAAGAUUUUAUGUCUGACUGAUUCAAUAGGAAACCAAAAAAAUCAACUUGCUUCCUUCUAGAGAGCCUGUCUGACUGUUUCUGUGCUUCCAGACAGCUGCCAUCCCACUCUGGCAACCUCCCUGGUUUUGAACAUUCGAUGUAAUUUACAGGUUUGCUAUUCAGACCUGUAAUAUAUUGUUUGUCUUUCUAGAUGAGAAUGAUUUCAUCUUAUCCCCCAUAAAGGCUGUGAGAACCCACAUAAAGAGGACAGUACAAAUAA